AUUGAACGCUGGCGGCAGGCCUAACACAUGCAAGUCGAACGAGUGGCGGACGGGUGAGUUAUGUCUGGGAAACGGCCUGAUGGAGGGGGAUAACUACUGGAAACGGUAGCUAAUACCGCCUACCUACAGAUGUGCCCAGAUGGUAUUAGCUAGUGGGUGGGGUAAUGGCUCAACAAGGGGACGAGCCCUAGCUGGUCUGAGAGGAUGACCAGCCACACUGGAACUGAGACACGGUCCAGACUCCUACGGGAGGCAGCAGUGGGGAAUAUUGCACAAUGGGGGCAAGCCUGAUGCAGCCAUGCCGCGUGUAUGAAGAAGGCCUUCGGGUUGUAAAGUACUUUCAGCGGGGAGGCGUUACCCGAAGAAGAAGCACCGGCUAACUCCGUGCCAGCAGCCGCGGUAAUUC
rnacentral:rRNA from 1 species